CACAGAGAGCUUAAGAAACUUGCCAAAGGUCACAGAGCUCAGAAUUAGCAGAGUCAAGAAUCAAGCCGAGGCAGGCAGUCUGGCUCCUGAGUCUGUGCAGUCACCCCAGAGGAGCUGAAGUCUGAGUCUUUGAACGCCAUGUGGGAACAAAGAAGGUUGACUCAGCUGUGAGGUGUGAGAAUGAAGAUGAGUUGAUGUAGCUGUGACCUCUGUGGAGGCAGAAGGCGAGGUACUAAGGGGUCCUGGAACCAAUCCGCGUGGAAACUGAGGGAUGACUAGAGUCUGAACCAAAGACGCCCAGAGAAGCUUUAGUCCCAGCACAUCAAAAGCAAAGUAUCUAAAACUUGAUUCUUCAUCUUCCCUCCUUUGUGGCAACUUCUCCUCCUGCGUUUACUUCUGUUGUGACACUGUUAUCAUCCCCUCAAUGCUUCAUUUUGAAGAAUCUGGAAGACGUCCUUUACUAUGGGCAUUGGUGCCAUAUUCAUACUAAGAACAUGGGUACCAUGACAUCAGGAAAAAACGAACCAUCAAAAUGAAGUGGAAACUCGGUAGUGAACCAGCAGUGAGAGGCAGUGCUGGACACGUCUCUGAGGCAAACUCCAAAUGAACUGGAAAGUAGUAACCCAGCCAGAAAAAUUAAGUAAUGGAUUUGUAUCAUCUUCUGGGUUCUGUACAUUUGGGAUAGGCUACCAGUGAAAUUGUUUUGAAUCUGGCAAUGGACUUGACUCAUGUGCCUUUCCAAAGGACUGUGGCCUUAAACUUCCGUAAAGAAAAAAAAAAAAAAUGACCUGUUUAUAGGAUGGUUUAUAGAAAAAAUAUUUGUAGUACUAAAUUCAGUGUUCAGUGCAAGUUUUUAGAGCUGAUUUUUCUACUUAAAAUCUUCUGAUCCAUCAACCACAUACCAACCAACCACAACAUAAAAACCAGAUGCCGUCUUAGGCUGUAAGAUGACCAGUCUCUGUGCUGAAAUGGCAAGGUAGGGAGUACGGGCUGUAGAGAUUUCAUUAGGAGGGCUGAUUGUGAGUGAAGAACAUGAAAACUGUGUUGGAUAAGGAAUGAAUGAAAAGAGAAGGGUCAAAUAUUUGAAAAUCUCUCAGUAAAAGAGAAAAUAAGAAUUUUUCUUUCCAGCUCUCAAGGCUGGCAAG